CCUACGGGAGGCAGCAGUAGGGAAUAUUGCUCAAUGGGGGCAACCCUGAAGCAGCAACGCCGCGUGGAGGAUGAAGGUUUUCGGAUUGUAAACUCCUUUUGUUAGAGAAGAUAAUGACGGUAUCUAACGAAUAAGCACCGGCUAACUCCGUGCCAGCAGCCGCGGUAAUACGGAGGGUGCAAGCGUUACUCGGAAUCACUGGGCGUAAAGAGCGCGUAGGCGGGAUAGCAAGUCAGAUGUGAAAUCCUAUGGCUUAACCAUAGAACUGCAUUGGAAACUGUUAUUCUAGAGUAUGGGAGAGGUAGGUGGAAUUCGUGGUGUAGGGGUAAAAUGCGUAGAGAUCAAGAGGAAUACUCAUUGCGAAGGCGACCUGCUAGAACAUAACUGACGCUGAUGCGCGAAAGCGUGGGGAGCAAACAGGAUUAGAUACCCCAGUAGUC
rnacentral:rRNA from 1 species